GAUCCCGCCCCCUCCCGUAGGAAACUCCAAGAGCCUGCAAGGGCUGAUUCACCCGUGAUUCAACCCGCCGCCGAUCGCUGGUUCCCUUCGGCGGCUCCAGGUGCUGAGCGGAACCGGGCCCCCAGCCGUCCAGCCCCCGGGACACCCAGGCCUGGGUGGGCGGCAGAAAACAAAUGGAUUGUUAAAACAAUUUUUCGACCCCUUUCAGUAACGCUCAGCAGUUACCAGAGCUCCCUCCUGUUAUGAUGCAUCUCGGAGACGUUGCGAAGUUGCCGAAGUUCCUAAGCUGUAGCGCUGAUCAAGCUUGUCUGACCAAUCCGCUUUUCAUGAGAUCUUAUGAAAUGUCAGAGGACUUGGGGGGACCUGGCGGCCAUGCCUUCACAGAGGCUCCUGCCCUCAGCUGGCCCCAGUGGGAUCUCUGAUGCAGAUGUCAUUUUCUGUCCCAGAGCUUUCCUUCCAAGAGGGUGCUUUCUCUCCCUAUGCGAGGCAGUAAGACUGACGCCGCAGCCCAGGCUCACCGGAUUAAAGUGUUCAUCCGCAGGUGCUCCAUCAUGCUCGGCAGCUGCGGUAGAAAAUAUUUGUAGUUUGUUCUCCGGCAGAUAAAAUCCUCAUGUUUUCUCCUUCAAACACGCGUGCACGGAGAUGUGCAGAGGAGGUUGCCUUGUGUUUGCAUAACCAGUGAUGAAAUGUGGUUGACGAGGAGCCUGAAAGGGACGGGGGCCCUGCUGCAGGGCUUCCUCUGUGAUUUAUAGUAUCCCCCCCCCCCAACCCCGAUCGCACAGACCUGCUCUCAUUGACUACUUGAUUUCACCUGCGUGUCGUUUUCUGUCUUUCCCACUCAACUCCUUAAAGGAGGAAGGACUGGGUUUUCUGCUUUUUAAAAAAACACUUCUCACACAAUUACAAGCACCUGAUGGGCUUUUAAUACAUUUUGAAUCAAUGAAUACUUUUUAAAACCAUCAUGCAGCCAGAUAUUUUCAUUGGCAUUCAAGAGACGAAACUUGUCAUUGAAAUGUCUCUGUCUAGUGGCUGGCAGUGAAUGUUCCAUAAGGCUCAACCGGGAAGAAAAUUCAAAUCCAGCAUUUAUUGCGGGGCAUCGCUUGAGCGUAAGCUCCAGAUGUUUCAUGAUUAGAGAUCCUUCUUGCUACAGCCCCGCAAUCUCAUCAGGAAAUGUGGCUGAAGAGAAAAAACAAAUGCGGGAGCUUGGGAACUUGUUAGCGUUUUCCUGAAAGACUUGAUAGUAAAGUGAUUCAGAAGAUUUUCAGUCAUCUCAUGAGCUGUUAAUAGCUUUCCUUGCAUAAAAAGGCUGAACAACUUUUCAGGAUAAAUUGCACAAAAUCUAUCCAGGAAAGGGAUAAAGUCAGCCGUAUGAUAGAAUAUGAGAUUGAGAGCAAUUCAAAUUCAUAUAAAAAUGUUAUGUUCAUAUGACAUAGUAAAGAGAGCAAGAAAACCAUUUUACUCAAAAUUCAGGUAAAAGCCAAAAUAUGAAAAAUGGCCAGAGGAAAUUGGAGUGGGAACACAGAGUUCUAGGAGAAAAAUGUGACUUAGCAGAACCUAAAAAACAUCUGGCAGGGUAUAAUUAGUCAUGGAAAAAUUGACAGUCAUGACUAUGCAUUUUGAGAAAAUAAUUAUAUACUAGUCCAGCAGCUAACAUUUCAACCAAAAUGAAAUAGUUAAGAGCCCAUAUAAUGAAAUCUGUUAUCUUGGUCACUCAAAAUACUUCUAUUAGCUUUCUAGAAUAGUUUACAAGAAACUUUACCAAAUAAGUUAUCCCAUAGCAGCAGUAUCCUGAAAAGUAUAAUUUUAGAGAAAAAUCUUGCAGUUUCAACCUUACUAAUACGGGAUUAGUAUUUUCAGCACACCACUCUCUUUAUAAUGUUAAGGCUUAUGAAACUACCUGCCAGAUUUCAGUUUGAAGAAGACUAAAUAUUCAUCAUACAUCCUCUACAUAUGAUGUAUUUAUGAUUAAACAAAUCAUAAGCUGUGGAUAUUGUUUUAGUAACAAAAAGGUAUUUAAAAUUUCAGUCCUUAACAUAUAUUUUUAAAUAUAUGUUCUUAUUAAUAUAACAUGAUUUUAAAAGUUUUUACGUGGUAUCAUUUUAUGUAAGCAUCCCUUAAUUCCCUAUUUCUAUAACUCUUUAUACUUGACUGUUGGGCUACACCAGUUGGGUUGCCCAGCCUCGAGACCAAAGAAAGAGCCUGGAGACAGAGACAUCAAGGGUUUAAGAGAUAGGGGGGCGCUCUUACACAAAGGGUCCUGGAUUGACACCUCCCCUUGUGCGUGUGUGACGGGCAGGACCUGGCAACAGUCUUCGUUACUGGGGGAUGGGGGAGAAGCCGGCCACCAUUUAUAGGGGGAAUUGAUGUCAGGUGGGCUCACCAAUUGUAAGGGACGAAUUAAGCCCUAUAAUUAAGAGGAUUGGCUGGUCAUGUGAGUGAAGCAGGGCCUGGUGAAACAGGAGACACACAGACAGCAAGACAAUAGCCAUCUUGAGCGGCCUGCCCACACACUGACCUAUGUGCCAGGUGGAUCAACAUACUUCCAUUCAUUCAAUAAAUGCUUGCAUAGCUUACCUGAUGCUGAGUUCUCUGCUUGACUGUGGAUAUAAAACCCAAAGAGUCCUUUCCAAAUAUAUAUAUAUAUAUAUAUAUGAAUCAUAUGAUGUAUGACUAUAACUCCUACUUACUGGUUUGAAUGAUAUUGUCAGCAUUUUGGAUUGGAUAUGAAAAAUCUUAACAAUGGUUUUUAUUAAUAAAUUUUGUUCCAUGCAAA